GGGGGAUGCGAGCGUNAUCCGGACCUANNGGGUNUAAAGGGAGCGCAGACGGGAGAUNAAGNCAGUNGUGAAAGNNUGCGGCNCAACCGUAAAANCGCAGUNGAUACUGGUUUCCNNGAGUGCAGUNGAGGCAGGCGGAAUNCGUGGUGUAGCGGUGAAAUGCUUAGAUAUCACGAAGAACCCCGAUUGCGAAGGCAGCUUACUAACCUGUAACUGACAUUGAUGCUCGAAAGUGUGGGUAUCAAACAGGAUUAGAUACCCUGGUAGUCCACACGGUAAACGAUGAAUACUCGCUGUAGGCGAUAUACAGUCUGCGGCCAAGCGAAAGCAUUAAGUAUUCCACCUGGGGAGU
rnacentral:rRNA from 1 species